rnacentral:rRNA from 1 species
AUGGCUGAAGGAGUUGUAAGGAGGAAUUACACCACAUGGGAUGAUGAGAUGGAUGGUGCACUGCUUGAGGUGCUUGUUGAUCAUCACAACAAUGGCGACCAUUCACAAAAUGGAUGGAAACCACAUGUGUAUUGUGCAGCCAUAAGGAAUGUGAAGGAGAAGUGCAACAAGAAUAUCACAAAGGACAACAUUUUGGGAAGGCUUAGAACUUUCGACAGGUACUAUGAAGUCAUUACCAAGAUACUUUCCCAAAGUGGUUUUGGGUGGGAUUGGGUGAAUCAUAAGCUAUCAAUGGAUAGUGAUGAUGUCUGGAUCAAAUAUGUGGAGGCUAAUAAGAAAGAGAAAGGAUUAGCUUCCUACAAGACCAAAGUAGUGAAGCAUUGGGAGUCCAUAUCUAUCAUAUAUUCAAAAGAUCAUGCCAAUGGUGAAGGUGCGAUGACUGGUGCUGAGACUACUGCAGAUCCAGAAGCAGAACCAAUAGAAAUCUCUCCAGAAGUGGCACCAAAGAGGCAACGAACAGGUGAGUCCAUUAUGUGCAUGAUUGGAGAAAUGAGGGCUACUUUCAAGGAUGCUUUGAAGACAACUGAUUCUUAA